GUAUAAAAUAAAUGACACUGAGUAUUAUUUUUGGGGAAAAGAAUGACACUGAAAGCUUUUUCUUUAUUACCUGCAGAGGAGAAGAAAGUAAAGAGCACUAAAGUGGAAGCAAAACUUAAAAAGGAAGUGAAGGAUGGAAAAGGAGAAACAAAGGCGGCCGAGAAAGUCAAGCAGGCAGAGAUUAAACCAACAGAAACUGGGCUAAUAAAGGCCAAAACGAAAGUUAAGGAGGAGAAAGCUCUUCAGACUGUAACUAAAUCGGACAAGAAAGAUCAAUAUGCGUUCUGUCGCUAUGUGAUUGACAUGUUUGCGCAAGGGGAUUUUUAUCCAGAAGAAAAGUCUAUUGUGGUACCCAGAGAAGUGAAAAGUAAGUUGUUUUUUAUUAUAUUUCCCUUGUCUUCAUGUUAAUUUAUGCAAAGGAUAGGAGUAUAUUGUC
rnacentral:lncRNA from 1 species